UACGUAGGGAGCAAGCGUUAUCCGGAUUUAUUGGGUGUAAAGGGUGCGUAGACGGAGAAGCAAGUUAGUUGUGAAAUCCCUCGGCUUAACUGAGGAGCUGCAACUAAAACUACUUCCCUUGAGUACUGGAGAGGAAAGUGGAAUUCCUAGUGUAGCGGUGAAAUGCGUAGAUAUUAGGAGGAACACCAGUGGCGAAGGCGACUUUCUGGACAGUAACUGACGUUGAGGCACGAAAGUGUGGGGAGCAAACAGG
rnacentral:rRNA from 1 species